UACGAAGGGGGCUAGCGUUGUUCGGAAUCACGUGGGCGUAAAGGGCGCGUAGGCGGCUUUAUAAGUCGGGGGUGAAAGCCUGUGGCUACAACCACAGAAUUGCCUUCGAUACUGUAGAGCUUGAGACCGGAAGAGGUAAGUGGAACGUGCGAGUGUAGAGGUGAAAUUCGUAGAUAUUCGCAAGAACACCAGUGGCGAAGGCGGACUUACUGGUCCGGUUCGUGACGCUGAGGCGCGAAAGCGUGGGGAGCAAACAGG
rnacentral:rRNA from 1 species